CCUUCUCCUCCUCUCGUUGGGAAGAAUUUUUCUUCUCUAAUUUUUUACUAUAAUACCAGCAAGAGAGGCUCCCUUUGAUGCUUAAGAACCAGCAAGCAAGGAUCCCAAAAUUUCCUUCCAAAGGGGUUGGAGAACAAGCUUGGCAUGUGGAGUCUUUGGGAUGUCCAACUCUUGGACACCCCCCUCCUUUUUUUUCUUUUGGGUGACAC
rnacentral:lncRNA from 1 species